rnacentral:lncRNA from 1 species
UGGGGGAAGAUCAUGUUUGAUCUUCAACAUAAUUAUUUUGAAGUGCCUUUGAGUUAUCCAAAUGGAGAUGUUGAGUAGGCACGAGAAUAUGGAUCUGGAAACCAAGAUGCGCCCUUUUAUUAUUAUAUAACGUAUUUUCCACCUUCUUCCGCAGGGGUAAGCAGGUGGUUUCCAAAGCAUCGUCCUUUUUACACGCUACCUUUGAAUACCUUCCUUAACAUUGGAAUUGCCAGUCUUCCUUACACUCCGAAAGGAGGAACUAGGCUGGGUGCAGCGGCUCACGCCUAUAAUCCCAGCAUUCUGGGAGGCCAAGUUGGGAGGGUUGCUUGAACCCAGGAGUUUGAGACCAGCCCUGGCAACAGUGAGAACCUAACUUCACACAC